rnacentral:ribozyme from 1 species
GCCCUGCAAUCGCAUAACCUCCACGUUGGUGCAGGGUGGCAACGGGCAAGUGUCCGGCAAAUAUGCGA